rnacentral:rRNA from 1 species
AGAGUUUGAUCCUGGCUCAGGAUGAACGCUAGCUACAGGCUUAACACAUGCAAGUCGAGGGGCAGCAUGGAAGUUUGCUUGCAAACUUUUGAUGGCGACCGGCGCACGGGUGAGUAACACGUAUCCAACCUGCCUCAUACUCGGGGAUAGCCUUUCGAAAGAAAGAUUAAUACCCGAUGUCAUAGUCCUACCGCAUGAUGGGAUUAUUAAAGAAUUUCGGUAUGGGAUGGGGAUGCGUUCCAUUAGUUAGUUGGCGGGGUAACGGCCCACCAAGACAACGAUGGAUAGGGGUUCUGAGAGGAAGGUCCCCCACAUUGGAACUGAGACACGGUCCAAACUCCUACGGGAGGCAGCAGUGAGGAAUAUUGGUCAAUGGACGAGAGUCUGAACCAGCCAAGUAGCGUGAAGGAUGACUGCCCUAUGGGUUGUAAACUUCUUUUAUAUGGGAAUAAAAUGUUCCACGUGUGGGAUUUUGUAUGUACCAUAUGAAUAAGGAUCGGCUAACUCCGUGCCAGCAGCCGCGGUAAUACGGAGGAUCCGAGCGUUAUCCGGAUUUAUUGGGUUUAAAGGGAGCGUAGGUGGAUUGUUAAGUCAGUUGUGAAAGUUUGCGGCUCAACCGUAAAAUUGCAGUUGAAACUGGCAGUCUUGAGUACAGUAGAGGUGGGCGGAAUUCGUGGUGUAGCGGUGAAAUGCUUAGAUAUCACGAAGAACUCCGAUUGCGAAGGCAGCUCACUGGACUGCAACUGACACUGAGGCUCGAAAGUGUGGGUAUCAAACAGGAUUAGAUACCCUGGUAGUCCACACAGUAAACGAUGAAUACUCGCUGUUUGCGAUAUACGGCAAGCGGCCAAGCGAAAGCAUUAAGUAUUCCACCUGGGGAGUACGCCGGCAACGGUGAGACUCAAAGGAAUUGACGGGGGCCCGCACAAGCGGAGGAACAUGUGGUUUAAUUCGAUGAUACGCGAGGAACCUUACCCGGGCUCAAACGCAGGGAGACUGCAAUCGAAAGGUUGCUUUCCACGGACUGCCUGCGAGGUGCUGCAUGGUUGUCGUCAGCUCGUGCCGUGAGGUGUCGGCUUAAGUGCCAUAACGAGCGCAACCCCUGCCGCCAGUUGCUAACGCGAAAGGCGAGGACUCUGGCGGGACUGCCGGCGCAAGCCGCGAGGAAGGCGGGGAUGACGUCAAAUCAGCACGGCCCUUACGUCCGGGGCGACACACGUGUUACAAUGGGCGGCACAGCGGGAAGCCAGGCGGCGACGCCGAGCGGAACCCGAAAGCCGUUCUCAGUUCGGAUCGGAGUCUGCAACCCGACUCCGUGAAGCUGGAUUCGCUAGUAAUCGCGCAUCAGCCAUGGCGCGGUGAAUACGUUCCCGGGCCUUGUACUCACCGCCCGUCA